rnacentral:rRNA from 1 species
GGAUGAAUAUUGGACAAUGGGCGAAAGCCUGAUCCAGCCAUACCGCGUGUGUGAUGAAGGCCUUAGGGUUGUAAAGCACUUUCGACGGGGAUGAUAAUGACCGUACCCGUAGAAGAAGCCACGGCUAAAUUCGUGCCAGCAGCCGCGGUAAUACGAAUGUGGCAAGCGUUGUUCGGAAUCACUGGGCGUAAAGAAUGUGUAGGCGGCUAGACAAGUCAGAAGUGAAAUCCCAGGGCUCAACCCUGGAACU